GACGAACGCUGGCGGCGUGCUUAACACAUGCAAGUCGAACGGAAAGGCCCUGCUUUUGUGGGGUGCUCGAGUGGCGAACGGGUGAGUAACACGUGAGUAACCUGCCCUUGACUUUGGGAUAACUUCAGGAAACUGGGGCUAAUACCGGAUAGGAGCUCCUGCUGCAUGGUGGGGGUUGGAAAGUUUCGGCGGUUGGGGAUGGAUUCGCGGCUUAUCAGCUUGUUGGUGGGGUAGUGGCUUACCCAGGCUUUGACGGGUAGCCGGCCUGGGAGGGUGACCGGCCACAUUGGGACUGCGGUACGGCCCAGACUCCUACGGGAGGCAGCAGUGGGGAAUAUUGCACAGUGGGCGGAAGCCUGAUGCAGCAACGCCGCGUGCGGGAUGACGGCCUUCGGGUUGUAAACCGCUUUCGCCUGUGACGAAGCGUGAGUGACGGUAAUGGGUAAAGAAGCACCGGCUAACUACGU
rnacentral:rRNA from 1 species